CAGUCGAACGGGAAAAUUUUAUUGAAGCUUCGGCAGAUUUAGCUUGUUUCUAGUGGCGGACGGGUGAGUAACGCGUGGGUAACCUGCCUUAUACUGGGGGAUAACAGCCAGAAAUGACUGCUAAUACCGCAUAAGCGCACAGAACCGCAUGGUUCCGUGUGAAAAACUCCGGUGGUAUAAGAUGGACCCGCGUUGGAUUAGCUAGUUGGCAGGGCAGCGGCCUACCAAGGCGACGAUCCAUAGCCGGCCUGAGAGGGUGAACGGCCACAUUGGGACUGAGACACGGCCCAGACUCCUACGGGAGGCAGCAGUGGGGAAUAUUGCACAAUGGGGGAAACCCUGAUGCAGCGACGCCGCGUGAAGGAAGAAGUAUCUCGGUAUGUAAACUUCUAUCAGCAGGGAAGAUAAUGACGGUACCUGACUAAGAAGCACCGGCUAAAUACGUGCCAGCAGCCGCGGUAAUACGUAUGGUGCAAGCGUUAUCCGGAUUUACUGGGUGUAAAGGGAGCGCAGGCGGUGCGGCAAGUCUGAUGUGAAAGCCCGGGGCUCAACCCCGGUACUGCAUUGGAAACUGUCGUACUAGAGUGUCGGAGGGGUAAGUGGAAUUCCUAGUGUAGCGGUGAAAUGCGUAGAUAUUAGGAGGAACACCAGUGGCGAAGGCGGCUUACUGGACGAUAACUGACGCUGAGGCUCGAAAGCGUGGGGAGCAAACAG
rnacentral:rRNA from 1 species